rnacentral:piRNA from 1 species
AAAGUACCUCGGGCUGAUUAUGG